AAUAUUGGACAAUGGGCGAAAGCCUGAUCCAGCCAUGCUGCGUGUGUGAAGAAGGUCCUCGGCUUGUAAAGCACUUUAAGCUGGGAGGAAGGGCAGUAAGUUAAUACCUUGCUGAUUUCACGUUACCGACAGAAUAAGAACCGGCUAACUUCGUCCGAGCAGCGUCGGUAAUACGAAGGGUGCAAGCGUUAAUCGGAAUUACUGGGCGUAAAGCGCGCGUAGGUGGUUUGUUAAGUUGGAAGUGAAAGCCCCGGGCUCAACCUGGGAACUGCUUUAAUAACUGCUGAGCUAGAGUACGGUAGAGGGUAGUGGAAUUUCCUGUGUAGCGGUGAAAUGCGUAGAUAUAGGAAGGAACACCAGUGGCGAAGGCGACCACCUGGGCUAAUACUGACACUGAGGUGCGAAAGCGUGGGGAGCAAACAG
rnacentral:rRNA from 1 species